UCUCUUACCCUGUAAUGAAGAAAAGGUUUCC
rnacentral:piRNA from 1 species